rnacentral:rRNA from 1 species
CAAUAGCGUAUAUUUAAGUUGUUGCAGUUAAAAAGCUCGUAGUUGGAUUUCGGGUGGGACGCAGCGGUCUCGCAUUGCGUUUGUACUGCUGCAGCCCUCCUUCUUGCCGGGGGCGGCCUCUCGGACUUCACUGUCUGGGGGUCAGAAUCGGCGAUGUUACUUUGAGUAAAUUAGAGUAUUCAAAGCAAGCUUACGCUCUGAAUAUAAUAGCAUGGGAUAACACGACAGGACUCUGGCCUAUCGUGUUGGUCUAUAGGACCAGAGUAAUGAUUAAGAGGGACAGUCGGGGGCAUUCGUAUUCCGUUGUCAGAGGUGAAAUUCUUGGAUUUACGGAAGACGAACAUCUGCGAAAGCAUUUGCCAAGGAUGUUUUCAUUGA